AUGAACGCUGGCGGCGUGCCUAAUACAUGCAAGUUGAGCGAACAGACGAGGAGCUUGCUCCUCUGACGUUAGCGGCGGACGGGUGAGUAACACGUGGAUAACCUACCUAUAAGACUGGGAUAACUUCGGGAAACCGGAGCUAAUACCGGAUAAUAUAUUGAACCGCAUGGUUCAAUAGUGAAAGACGGUUUUGCUGUCACUUAUAGAUGGAUCCGCGCCGCAUUAGCUAGUUGGUAAGGUAACGGCUUACCAAGGCAACGAUGCGUAGCCGACCUGAGAGGGUGAUCGGCCACACUGGAACUGAGACACGGUCCAGACUCCUACGGGAGGCAGCAGUAGGGAAUCUUCCGCAAUGGGCGAAAGCUUGACGGAGCAACGCCGCGUGAGUGAUGAAGGUCCUCGGAUCGUAAAACUCUGUUAUUAGGGAAGAACAAAUGUGUAAGUAACUAUGCACGUCUUGACGGUACCUAAUCAGAAAGCCACGGCUAACUACGUG
rnacentral:rRNA from 1 species